rnacentral:rRNA from 1 species
UACGGGGGGGAGCAAGCGUUGUUCGGAUUUACUGGGGCGUAAAGGGCGCGUAGGCGGUCGUGAACAAGUCACUUGUGAAAUCUCCGGGGCUUAACUCGGAACGGUCAAGUGAUACUGUCGGACUAGAGUACAGAAGGGGCAACUGGAAUUCUCGGUGUAGCGGUGAAAUGCGUAGAUAUCGAGAGGAACACCUGCGGCGAAGGCGGGU